UACGGAGGGAGCUAGCGUUGUUCGGAAUUACUGGGCGUAAAGCGCACGUAGGCGGCUUUGUAAGUUAGAGGUGAAAGCCCGGAGCUCAACUCCGGAACUGCCUUUAAGACUGCAUCGCUUGAAUCCAGGAGAGGUGAGUGGAAUUCCGAGUGUAGAGGUGAAAUUCGUAGAUAUUCGGAAGAACACCAGUGGCGAAGGCGGCUCACUGGACUGGUAUUGACGCUGAGGUGCGAAAGCGUGGGGAGCAACAGG
rnacentral:rRNA from 1 species